rnacentral:lncRNA from 10 species
UGCAACCCAGGAACCAAUGGGCAAUGGCAGCGCAUCCUGAGUUAACUUCCAGAUCCUGAGGGUCUCUGGCCACCCGCCCAGUCUUUUCUUUCACUUCAAUUUUCGAGCGAUUUGCAUGAGGAGGACAACUGACCUGAAGGGGACUGCAAGGCUCAGGCUGGGACUACUCCCUGGUGAGCUUUCAAAACACUCAGGUCUCAGGAAUUCACCUCUGACCGCCUGUAACAGGAGGAAAUCUCUUCACUGCUGGCGCUGACAACGGAAGACUGAGGGUGACCGGGAUCCUUCACCCCCAUGCCUAGUGAGUCCACAGAACCCAGGGUAAUUGGGAUGGUGUCCGGGUGCACUAAGAUAGGGAAGCUAAAGGCAGACUCGGGAUGCCUGCAACUGCAGGAAGAUGUAUUGGAACAGACACAAAACUCUCCCUCCCAGAUAAGCACAACAAAGAGACACAGAAGCAGUCCAAGCCUCUGAUAAACUCUCCCACCCUAAAUCCUUAAAAAUUCUUAGUCUGUAAGAGAGUGCGGCUUCUGACGUAACUCAGAAGGGUCAGAAGUCCCUCCCAGGUUUAAAAUAAAUCUGUUGACUGUCAAGCCACCCUUCAUGUUUCUCUCCUCUUUCUUUAAUUCUUACAGAGGCUGCAGUGAGCUAUCAUACCACUGCACUCCAGCCUGGGUGACAGACCAAGACCCUGUCUCAAAAAAAAAAAAAAAAAGAAGCCCUGGCGAGGUGGCUCAUGCCUGUAAUCCCAGCACUUUGGGAGGCCGAGAAGGGUAGAUCACUUGAGGAAGUGGGCAAGACAAGAAGCCUGGUGAGGAGCCACCGUGAGGCAGUUUCU